GAUCCAAAAACAGCAAUGGAGAAAGUGGUCUGGAAACCACAUUUCAUCACAGGUAGCCACAUUCCACACGUAUAGAGACAGGAAGAUAUCGGUAUUCAGUCCCAGUCGGAAAUGACAUAAUAAUAAGGAAUUCCCCUAGACCACGCCCAUAAAUUGGGGAAAUCCCGCUGAAAUUCCGAUCAAUGGUUCGCAAUGGUCCCACGUUGGGAAAUAGAGCCUGGGAGAAGAGCCCUGUGGCUUCAGGCUAUUCGGUGUGGGAAAUGUGGGGACGCGAUGUCCAAGAAGGCUAUACGUAGCCCCACUUGCAGCAGGCGUUGGACAGGCCCACCACCACAUCACGGCCCUUACGGUCUGACAUACGGAGAGCCUCCAGUAUCUCCUCUGAGAUGAGGGAGCGGGCUGGCCUGCUGAUGAACACCCCACCCUCCUGGACAUGCUGGAAGGGACCCUCUGGGACCUGGGAGUCUGAGUUCCAGCCUUCAGGCGAGUCCUCGUCAUGGGAGCUGAAAGGGUCCUGAGGGAAGUCUCCUGAAAUGCAGUUUAUAGUAGGAGUGUUGAAAUGCGAUAUUGACUCUCAGUGCUGCUCAAUUUAUACAUUCAAAAGUCAAAGAUUACUGUGUUUCUAUUUCAAAGAAAAUGUUAUGUGUAACGUGCCAAAUACAAGUAAAAAAUAGAUAAGUUAAAAAAAAAUGUAAUAAAAGUAACAAGUAAUUAAAGAGCAGCAGUAAAAUAACCCUAGCGAGGCUAUAUACAGGGGGUACCGGUACAGAGUCAAUGUGAGUAGCAGUAGCGUAAAAAGGGGGGGCAAUGCAAAAAGUCUGAGUAGCCCUUUGAUUAGCUGUUCAGGAGGCUUAUGGCUUGGGGGUAGAAGCUGUUUAGAAGCCUUUUGGACCUAGACUUGGUGCUCCGGUACCGACUGACACUCAGUAGCAGAGAGAACAGUCUAUGACUUGGGUGGCUGGAGUCCUUGACACAUUUUUGAGCCUUCCUCUGACACCGCCUGGUAUAGAGGUCCCAGAUGGCAGGAAGUUUGACCCCAGUGAUAUACUGUGUUGUACACACUACCCUCUGCAGUGCCUUGUGGUCAGAGGCCAAGCAGUUGCCAUACCAGGCAGUGAUGCAACCAGUAGGAUGCUCUCGAUGGGGCAGCUGUAGCACUUUUUGAGGAUCUGAGGACCCAUGUCAAAUACUUUCAGUCUCCUGAGAGGGAGACUACUGUCUUGAUGUGUUUGGACCAAUGCACAAUACAUUUAAAUGAAAAAAUGUAAUCGACUAGGUGGACGUAAUCGACUGUGCGGAUAUAAUACAUUCCAAUGGACAAAGCCAGUGGUACAAAAAAAGCCAACAUAGUCCUUUCCCUUUACUCAACAAACCAUAAAGCACUGAUAAAUUGAAUCAGGUACAUUACUGCUUGGCUAGAAUCUAAAUGUGCACAAUUUAGAAACACAAUGACCCAAUAAAAGGCUUGUCCAGCCGGCAUGCCUCACCUGCACUCCCGAGUGACCGUCUCCAGCGAGAUCCUCCACAGGUGAAGAUGACCGCCCGGAUGAACUCCCGGCCACAUAGCUUCACUCCAUACGUGGGGCGCUCCAUCCCCUGCACCCCAGCCACUAACAGACACACAGCUAAUACCAGUGGUUUCCACAUCAUGUCCCAGGAGGUAAAUGAACGAGUGAGCAAAAAAGGAGGAGAGAGAAUAGAUUCUUCAAUGGUAGACUGGGCUGUUUGGAGCAGGUGUUUUUCUCUGUCUCUCUGUGGUCGCGAGUGUUGUGUGACUUCCCCAGUGACCUGGUAUUGGUUUAUAAAGGGGUCCUCAGCCAUACGAGGUAGACAUGGAACUUCCACAUGCACACCCUCCCAACCAGGACAGUCAUAGAUAGGAGAGAGAGAUAGACCCAGAGACCUUUAUGGAGACAAAGCACUGACCAAAGGUGGCAUAAUUAGCCAAUACUGCUCAAACGCGACGAUGAUGUCAGAGUAGUUUGUAAUCUGAUUACAGAAAAACUAAUUUUCUGGAUGUCAAACCCACGUUUCAUUUGAAUCCUCACCUACACCUUUUUUGUGGUCAUCACCCACCUCAAACUCACUUGAUCACCAGACAUUUCUGCUCAUGCAAAGCAAGUGUUAAUGUGAAGACCCAUGGUGUAGUGGUAACACUCCCUAACACAUGUUACAUACAAAUCCCAUCCAGAGACCAGGGUUCAAUACCUGUGUCCACCCUUCCCACUGUUUCUCCCUCUUGUUUAUUUCCUCACUAUCUGAAUAAAGUGUCAAAACACCUUAAAAAUACAUAUUUAAACUUGAUCAAAUCUUCUACAGAGGUACAGUAGGAAUGUUGGGUAUGAUGACACAGUUCAGAAGUGUGAUGCCACCGUGUCAAAAUGUCGGUAUCAAGAACAUGUUUUCUCUAACACAAAUACCCAGUUUAGUACAUACAGUGUACUACAAAUAUACAUAUGUGCUACAUUUCAAUAGUGGAAGAUCCAGCCUACCGACGGAGGAGGAGCUGUGACUGUGGACGACGACGAGGUGCCCGUUGAGGUGUUCCAUGGCCUGUCUGUCAGAUGUCUCUACAUCUCUCAAGAUACUACCUUUCUGAACUGCCUAUCAUCUAAAGUUGACCAUCGCCAACAUACUGACAGAUCCCUACCUUUGUUUUGUUAAAUAGUUUCUGGUUACAUUUUGUUUUCAAAGUGACUUUGAGAUUCUGCUUGUAAUGAAAAGCACUAAAUAAAAUACAUAUUUUUAUUAUUAUAUAGAACUUACUUUCAAGUAAAACUUAAACUCUUCUCCUAUACCACUUCACACCUUUUCAGUGCUGACUCUGUAACCCCAGCUCUGAUUAUUCUCCCAUGACUUGCUUCUCCCCUCAUAUUUCUCCAUCUCUCUCUCUCUCUGAAAAAGAGGGAUGAAGUCACAGGUGGGGGGUUCACACAUCAAGGAGUAGGGGGUGCGUGCGACGGAAUGAGGCAAAGCGGGUGACAUUUUCAAAGGCAGAUAACAUGGAAGUCAUCAUCUGAGUCAAACAAAGGCUGGGACCCUAUCUGUGUCAACGCAUAGGUAAAGGUCCCCGUUUCAGAAUUGACAAUGGAUUUGUGAAUUUGUAAUUAAUAGGUUGAUAACAAUGCGAACAACAUGGUAUUUCAGGGGGACAUUGGAGACUCAUUUGCACAUUGUCUAGUGGUGAGUGACCAGGUGAGCAGGUUAAGAGAGCGACAUUGUCUAGUGGUGAGUGACCAGGUGAGCAGGUUAAGAGAGUGACAUUGUCUAGUGGUGAGUGACCAGGUGAGCAGGUUAAGAGAGUGACAUUGUCUAGUGGUGAGUGACCAGGUGAGCAGGUUAAGAGAGCGACAUUGAUGGUGACUGAAUGUGUUGCUUUUUGAAUAAUUUGUUUGUUGCCAGUAUGUAGACUUUGUCUGUAUACGUGUGUGUGUAUCGCGGUUUUGUCUCACCAGGGGUGAUGGUCAGAUUCGUGUUACAACGAGGAAUGAGCGUUACACCGAGGCCUGUGCUCUGGAGCAGGAUUGAUUUGAAGGUGGAGGGUCCGUCAUGGCCUAGGGCGGUGUGUCACAGCAUCAUCGACUGAGCUUGUUGUCAUUGCAGGCAAUCUCAACGCUGUGCGUUAAGGGGAAGACAUCCUCCUCCCUCAUGUGGUACUCUUCCUGUAGGCUCAUCCUGACAUGACCCUCCAGCAUGACAAUGCCACCAGCCAUACUGAUCGUUCUGUGUGGGAUUUCCUGCAAGACAGGAAUGUCAGUGUUCUGCCAUGGCCAGCGAAGAGCCCGGAUCUCGAUCCCAUUGAGCACGUCUGGGACCUGUUGGAUCGGAGGGCUAGGGCCAUUCCCCCCAGAAAUGUCCAGGAACUUGCAGGUGUCUUGGUUGAAGAGUGGGGUAACAUCUCACAGCAUGAACUGGCAAAUCUGAUGCAGUCCAUGAGGAGGAAAUGCACUGCAGUACUUAAUGCAGCUGGUGGCCACACCAGAUACUGACUUACUUUUGAUUUUGACACCCCCUUUGUUCAGGGACACAUAUUCAAUUUUUGUUAGUCACAUGUCUGUGGAACUUGUUCAGUUUAUGUCUUAGUUGUUGAAUCUUGUUAUGUCCAUACAAAUAUUUACACAUGUUAAGUUUGCUGAAAAUAAAUGCAGUUGACAGUGA